AGUCAAGAGUGUGCCUUCUGAGCCAGAGAUACAGUGUUUCCAAAGAGUCCCACCCUUCCUUAAAAUGGUCAAAGGAUUUCAACUAAACAAACUGAGACAUACAACCUGAGAAGAGUUAAAAGGAAACAGAAUAUCCCGUCAGUCAAAAUCACCUGCAGUAUCAGGACUUCAUGACACAUGACAGGUGGGCUUUCUCGCUGCAACCAUCGAUAUAAAUACUCAUGAUUGGCUGUAUUUACAGGGCCUUUUCAGCCUCCUGUUGGUUUCAAACACAAAGAGAAAUGGUCUCUCUUGCCUGUGCCUUGUCUGAUCAGCCAGAGAAGCCAUGGAAGACCCUCUCUGAGCUCUGCUGGAAGAUGAUUUCCAGUGGAUAUAGGACAGUUCUGGCUGGAAAGGGGCUUGAGUGCUGUGACAGGUGGUGGCGUCUGUCAUUAGGAUGUGAGAGACCCCAGUGAAGGAAGCAUAGAGGGGCCAGCAUUUGGGUUGAUGAACCACACACCAUGGUGGCGUGUGCUCAGAUAGGCCAGGCAGUUGUCCCCUUGUGGUUUAAGCUUAUCGAACUGCAUAACAAUAAAUUCCUAUCAUCAAAUUCCCUAGCUUUCUCCCAGUGCACGUGGAGGUAUGUAUCCUUCCAAGCCAGUGGCGAUAUUUGGUAGGUAGACCCAGCUAGUGUACUUGGUUGUAGAGAACUGGUACACGUGCCUCUGCAGACACCCAGAAGAAUGCCUAGGGAAAAUGUCCCAUGCUGUGUGAUUCUGUCUUCAUGGCUUUCUGGAGCCUCUAGUCAGUUGUUCCAUGAGACUCCUAUCAAGCUACUACAUGUCCAACAAAAUUAUAUCGAUGAAGAACAGGAAGACACUCUGCCUUAGGGCUCUCAUCCUAAAACAGCACAUGACCCCGAGGAUAGUUGUUAGGAGCAGUAGUGAAGUGGCCCACACCAUACCCAGGCACCUUGCCAUGCUGUGCAUUUACUGAGUAUUUGCUAUGGAGGAGGGCUAAGGGACUUGCAGCCUCAAAGAGGGCACCAAGAUUUUUAAACCAAUAAGAGUGUUUUUGAUGCAAUGACCAACCUUCAUUGUGAACCUGACACAUAUGAGAAGAGCGACUGUCAUCUGAAGAACUGACCUUCAUCGGAUUGACCUGGAAGGAUGUCUGGAAGAGCAUUUUCUCAAUUGCUAUUGAUGCCGAGGGCCCAGCCCGCUAUGGGCACCCAGUCUUAGGCGGUAUAAGUUCCUGAACAUAAGCUGGGGAGCAAGCCAGUAGGCAGCACUCCUCUAUGGUUUCUGUUCAGUCCUUGCUUGAAUUUCUGCUCCGACUUCCUUCAGUGAUAGGGUGUAGCCCCGAAUUAGAAGGCAAAGAAACCCUUUCUUCCCCAGGUGUUUUUUGUCUGGUGUUUAUGACAGCAACCUCAAGCAAGCUGAAAUAUCCCCCAUUGUUUGUCUUAAUAGUUAUUCUAUUUCCAUACGGCUUCUGCCAGACCUGUUACAUAACUGUUCCAUAUUUAUUCUGCCAGGAGUCUGUUCUGAGGCUCUUCUCAUCAUCCGUCCUGCGCAGCCGUGAUGAAUAUAUUUGCCACUUUCAGUCUGGCCAAUUACUGAAGCAUCUCAUUAUCUCUUAUCCACUCUUACCUACUUGUUGCUUAGGUUUUGUGGGUAGUUUAUAGGAAGCGAGGCCACACUGAGCAUUUGGCUGGCUGGGAAUGUCAAUUCUGUUUUGUUUGAUGUAUGAUGGGAUUAGCUAGAGUGAGGUCAUCGUGCGAAGUCACCAGAGACAAGAACCACACAAGCACUGAUUCCCUCAGCUCUGUGAGGAACACCACCACAUGUAUGUCCUAUUCGCACUUGAGCCUCCUCUUGCAUGGCUUUCCAAGUUACCACGCUGGCAUCCAUUGUGCUAGCCUUCACCACAGUGACGGUGACCAUCACCAUGCUGGGCUUCACCAGGCUUCUUCACCAUGCUCUGUUUUCUAAUGUUCUACCUCUAACACUACAUUGAACAGCUUUCCGUUCUUCAAUACUGCUCCUAUAAAAAGCUCUCAGAG
rnacentral:lncRNA from 1 species